rnacentral:rRNA from 1 species
AGUGAACGCUGGCGGUAGGCCUAACACAUGCAAGUCGAACGGCAGCACAGUAAGAGCUUGCUCUUACGGGUGGCGAGUGGCGGACGGGCGAGGAAUACAUCGGAAUCUACUUUUUCGUGGGGGAUAACGUAAGGAAACUUACGCUAAUACCGCAUACGACCUACGGGGGAAAGCAGGGGAUCUUCGGACCUUGCGCGAUUGAAUUAGCCGAUGUCGGAUUAGCUAGUUGGCGGGGUAAAGGCCCACCAAGGCGACGAUCCGUAGCUUGUCUGAGAGGAUGAUCAGCCACACUGGAACUGAGACACGGUCCAGACUCCUACGGGAGGCAGCAGUGGGGAAUAUUGGACAAUGGGCGCAAGCCUGAUCCAGCCAUACCGCGUGGGUGAAGAAGGCCUUCGGGUUGUAAAGCCCUUUUGUUGGGAAAGAAAAGCAGCAGGUUAAUACCCCGCUGUUCUGACGGUACCCAAAGAAUAAGCACCGGCUAACUUCGUG